rnacentral:rRNA from 1 species
AUUGAACGCUGGCGGCAGGCCUAACACAUGCAAGUCAAGCGGAUGAAGGGAGCUUGCUCCUGGAUUCAGCGGCGGACGGGUGAGUAAUGCCUAGGAAUCUGCCUGGUAUUGGGGGAUAACGUCCGGAAACGGGCGCUAAUACCGCAUACGUCCUGAGGGAGAAAGUGGGGGAUCUUCGGACCUCACGCUAUCAGAUGAGCCUAGGUCGGAUUAGCUAGUUGGUGGGGUAAAGGCCUACCAAGGCGACGAUCCGUAACUGGUCUGAGAGGAUGAUCAGUCACACUGGAACUGAGACACGGUCCAGACUCCUACGGGAGGCAGCAGUGGGGAAUAUUGGACAAUGGGCGAAAGCCUGAUCCAGCCAUGCCGCGUGUGUGAAGAAGGUCUUCGGAUUGUAAAGCACUUUAAGUUGGGAGGAAGGGCAGUAAGUUAAUACCUUGCUGUUUUGACGUUAACAACAGAAUAAGCACCGGCUAACUUCGUG